GACGAACGCUGGCGGCGUGCUUAACACAUGCAAGUCGAACGGAAAGGCCCUGCUUUUGUGGGGUGCUCGAGUGGCGAACGGGUGAGUAACACGUGAGUAACCUGCCCUUGACUUUGGGAUAACUUCAGGUAACUGGGGCUAAUACCGGAUAGGAGCUCCUGCUGCAUGGUGGGGGUUGGAAAGUUUCGGCGGUUGGGGAUGGACUCGCGGCUUAUCAGCUUGUUGGUGGGGUAGUGGCUUACCAAGGCUUUGACGGGUAGCCGGCCUGAGAAGGUGACCGGCCACAGUGGGACUGAGAUACGGCCCAGACUCCUACGGGAGACAGCAGUGGGAAAUAUUGCACAAUGGUCGGAAGCCUGAUGCAGCAACGCCGCGUGCGGAAUGACGGCCUGCGGGUUAUAAACCGCUUUCGCCUGUGACGAAGCGGGAGUGACGGUAAUGAGUGAAGAAGCACCGGCUAACUACGUG
rnacentral:rRNA from 1 species